UACAGAGGGUGCGAGCGUUGUUCGGAAUUAUUGGGCGUAAAGCGCUGGUAGGUGGCUUGUUAAGUCGCGUGUGAAAUCUCCAGGCUCAACUUGGAAAGUGCGCGCGAAACUGGCGAGCUUGAGUGCCGGAGAGGGUCGCGGAAUUCCCGGUGUAGAGGUGAAAUUCGUAGAUAUCGGGAGGAACACCAGAGGCGAAGGCGGCGACCUGGAAGGUAACUGACACUGAGCAGCGAAAGCGUGGGGAGCAAACAGGAUUAGAUACCCUGGUAGUCCACGCCGUAAACGAUGGAUGCUAGCUGUGGCGGGUUUUGACCCCUGCCGUGGCGACGCUAACGCACUAAGCAUCCCGCCUGGGAAGUACGGCCGCAAGGCUAAA
rnacentral:rRNA from 1 species